rnacentral:lncRNA from 1 species
GAAUACCCUGCGUAGCAACCGCAGACUCACAUCUCAGUAAUCAUGUGAUCAUGGCCAAGUUCACUGACUGUCCUGAGUCUCAUUCUCUUCUUGUACCAUUCUCCUCUUUGUAACAUAUACAAAAGAUACAAAACUUACUAUCUACUUACCCAGAUGAUAUUUAGAAAUUCUAGGCCUAUGUUACUAGAAGCUACUGAGUAGUUUUGUGCCACACCACUGAGGGAAAGAAGCAGAUUUCAUUCUAUCAUUACUUUCUCAACAGCAACUCCAGGAGAAAAUUGUGCCAUGAGCCAAGCCCAUGGAAGCUUAAGGCGAACCCUGCUAACACUGAGAGGGUUUGACAGAUGUGAUUUACAGUGAUUAUUACAGACUCAGCAAGAAAUGCAGAGGGCCUCAGGGAGACAUAUUAGUAUAGUAAUUAACAGGGGCUGCUUCAACAAAACCAACCUGAACUCUCAGUGGUUUGGCCUAUUAAAAGUUCAUCGCUGUUGCUGCUGCUCCAGUAAAGUUGGACAUGAGUCAGGAGGCUGUCCUCCAUCUUGCAACCAGGAACUUGAAAAUGUGACACCCAGACCAUUGCAACAGCGGAGAGGAGUUUAGAUGGGAAAGUGACCCAUUUCCUCUCAAGUGAACCAGGAAGGCUGCACCUGCAUGUCAGUUCCAAUUCAGGGUGGAAGUUCUGUGUCCACGUAACACCUUAACAUAUAAGGGAAUCUGCCAGUGAGCUUGGUUACCCCACCCGCUCCUGCUGCCAUGUGCAUUGUGAUUUCACAUGGACUCUCCCUGGGAAAGGACUUCGGCCACACCAGGCAAGAGCCUCAGGAAUUGUGUUUGCUACUGUCUCCCAGAACUUGGCACACAGUACCAUCCUCAGACUCAGCAGCUAAGACCCUUGAACUGGCCCCAGAGGACCUGCCUUGGGCCCUUGAAGCUGUACCCUCCCUGUGGGGUAAGGAGUUCACAGGGCCAAGCCCAUCCAGAGCUACUGCCUCCCCUUCUAGACUACACCCUGGGGAACUCCAGAGCUGGGAGUUUCCUGGCCACGUGGCCCUAAAGUACUUCUAGGGCUUGUGUGAGAUUCAUCUUUUCAAGGGC